UACGGAAGGCAGCAGUGGGGAAUAUUGCACAAUGGGCGCAAGCCUGAUGCAGCCAUGCCGCGUGUAUGAAAAAGGCCUUCGGGUUGUAAAGUACUUUCAGUCGUGAGGAAGGUGUUAAGGUUAAUAACCUUAGCAAUUGACGUUAGCGACAGAAGAAGCACCGGCUAACUCCGUGCCAGCAGCCGCGGUAAUACGGAGGGUGCGAGCGUUAAUCGGAAUUACUGGGCGUAAAGGGCACGCAGGCGGUUAAUUAAGUUGGAUGUGAAUCCCCGGGCUUAACCUGGGAAUGGCAUUCAAGACUGGUUAGCUAGAGUCUUGUAGAGGGGGUAGAAUUCCAUGUGUAGCGGUGAAAUGCGUAGAGAUGUGGAGGAAUACCGGUGGCGAAGGCGGCCCCUGGACAAAGACUGACGCUCAUGUGCGAAAGCGUGGGGAGCAAACAGGGAUUAGAUACC
rnacentral:rRNA from 1 species